GAUUAGAGUGGACUAUCCAGCCAUUGCAAGAAAAUGACUGUUAUAUUCCUGCCACUGUAUAAAACCCAGGUUGGAGCCAGGGAAGACACCAAUAUUUCAUCAAGAUGAUCAGAAUCCAGAAGAGCAUUCCACAGCAGCAUUGCCUUGGCAAGCAGUACAGGCAUCACAAAGCAAAACAAGAUUGAUUUUGCAAACAGUUCUCCCACAUUUUUUCCUGAACCCUGUGAUCUAAAGCACAUCAGAAGUACCCAGUUUACUCUGACAUUUCUUCAAUUCCUUUGAAAAUGAUGGCCAAGGCUGUAAACAGGUUUUGGAUUCCACUUCUGUUACAAGAGUUCAGGAUGGAGGUGACAACUGCAUGAAUCACUGGGACGACAUGUCCAUCUACAAGGAAAUGACAGAGUUUCCUAGUGAGCUGAAACUGAGAGAAAGUUUUUCUGGGAAUUGCCGCAAAUAUGAUCAUCCAUAACGAGGAGCCAGCCAUAACUUUGAUGAAUAAAGGCUAUAUAUCCUUGA